rnacentral:rRNA from 1 species
AUCUUGGUGGUAGUAGCAAAUAUUCAAUAGAGAACAUUGAAGACUGAAGUGGAGAAAGGUUUCACAUGAACAACACUUGGAUGUGAGUUAGUCGAUCCUAAACGGUGGGUUAACUCCAAAUACAUAGAUACUUGUAUCUUGUACCGUGAAAGGGAAACAGGUUAAUAUUCCUGUACUAUAUCAAGGAGGUAAAGUGGCAACACAAAUGAACUCAAAUACAUCAGUAGAAUAACCAGGAAGAGUUCUCUUUUCUUUUUAACGACUUCCUCGCAAGGGGUGUAUAAUGACCAUGGAAUCAAUUUAGUUGGAGAAAUGGUUAAAGAGUCGGUAGAGUAAAUCAAUUUCUGAUUUAUCUGGUUAGGUUCUAAUGGUACAUAAAAAUUUGAGGGAAUGAUCUUGCUUGAAUAGUCGUACUCAUAACCGCAGCAGGUCUCCAAGGUUAGAAGCCUCUAGUUGGCAGAAUAAUGUAGGUAAGGGAAGUCGGCAAAAUAGAUCUGUAACUUCGGGAAAAAGAUUGGCUCUAAAGGCUGAGUAUAUGGGCA